AGUGAACGCUGGCGGUAGGCCUAACACAUGCAAGUCGAACGGCAGCACAGUAAGAGCUUGCUCUUACGGGUGGCGAGUGGCGGACGGGUGAGGAAUACAUCGGAAUCUACUUUUUCGUGGGGGAUAACGUAGGGAAACUUACGCUAAUACCGCAUACGACCUACGGGUGAAAGCAGGGGAUCUUCGGACCUUGCGCGAUUGAAUGAGCCGAUGUCGGAUUAGCUAGUUGGCGGGGUAAAGGCCCACCAAGGCGACGAUCCGUAGCUGGUCUGAGAGGAUGAUCAGCCACACUGGAACUGAGACACGGUCCAGACUCCUACGGGAGGCAGCAGUGGGGAAUAUUGGACAAUGGGCGAAAGCCUGAUCCAGCCAUACCGCGUGGGUGAAGAAGGCCUUCGGGUUGUAAAGCCCUUUUGUUGGGAAAGAAAAGCAGCAAGUUAAUACCCCGCUGUUCUGACGGUACCAAAAGAAUAAGCACCGGCUAACUUCGUG
rnacentral:rRNA from 1 species